GGUAACUGGAGAAUGGGGUGGGGGUAUGCCAGCUCUCCCUGCUUGCCCUGGUCCCACACACUCAGGCCUGUGUGGCCAGCGUGGUCCUCCUUUCCCACAGCCAAGGUGCCCCGACUGCCAGCGUCCACUCCCCGUGGGGCCGCAGGGUACACCAACAUCUGAGGCAGAGGCACCGCUGUGGGCUCAUCUCUCAGCUCAAAGGGUUUCCAAGAGAAUCCUCAGCAAAAAAGCAACACUCGCCGUUCAGAGAGUGAAUGAGAGGCCAGCAGGGGGCUGGGAAGGUGCUUAGCUCAGGGAGGGCUGGAGGGUGGGACUAGGAGGCACUAAAGGCCUGGGGGCUCAGAGAAAGGCCCAGCCCAUCCCAGCAGAGGCCGACCAGGACUCCAGAGCCCGUGGAGGCCCUGCCAUGCACGGGAAGCCUUUCCCGACUUGGGGGCAGGAGCUGGAGGGCUGGGAUGAUCCUAAGGGGAUGCUCGGCCAUAAGCCACAUGCCAAGUCCAGAGCCCAACAGCUGCUGUACCUCCUGGGCUGUUUCCACGGAUGAGGCUUCUCUGAAUGUAAGUUUGUCUGCUCAGCCACACCGGCCUCCUCCUGGCACAUCGUCUCUCACAGGCACCUCCUUCCAUGGAGACUGGGGGCCUCAGACGGCUCUUCCCGACAGGGCCCUGCACUUGGGCAGAUGCACCUGUGGCUUGAGCUCAGCACAGCACAUAGUGGCUGGCAAGGAACGGAAGGAGAAUUGGAGAAAUGUAUCUAAAAUGUCAAGCAGACCUCUGCUACACUCACUGGGAAGAACCAUGUUGCUUCUGACGAAUUUCUUAAAAAGAGAGAAAGAUGCCAAUGAGAAAACCAGAGGGGACAAAUGCUACCCGGGAAUGUAAAACAGUUGCCAUCAGAGACUGGCUGGCUCACAUUGUGUCCACCAAUCCACCCACCACGGCGAGUGAUGUCCGUACAGCUCACACCGCAUCCAUCAAUCCACCCACCACGGCGAGUGAUGUCCGUACAGCUCACACCGCGUCCAUCAGUCCACCCACCAUGGCGAGUGAUGUCCGUACAGCUCACACCGCGUCCAUCAGUCCACCCACCAUGGCGAGUGAUGUCCGUACAGCUCACACCGCGUCCAUCAGUCCACCCACCAUGGCGAGUGAUGUCCGUACAGCUCACACCGCGUCCAUCAGUCCACCCACCAUGGCGAGUGAUGUCCGUACAGCUCACACCGCGUCCAUCAGUCCACCCACCAUGGCGAGUGAUGUCCGUACAGCUCACACCGCGUCCAUCAGUCCACCCACCAUGGCGAGUGAUGUCCGUACAGCUCACACCGCGUCCAUCAGUCCACCCACCAUGGCGAGUGAUGUCCGUACAGCUCACACCGCGUCCAUCAGUCCACCCACCAUGGCGAGUGAUGUCCGUAUAGCUCACACCGCAUCCAUCAAUCCACCCACCACAGCAAGUGUCUGCGAUGUCUGUAGUGUCUGCGAUGUCUGUAGUAUCUGCAAUGUCCAUGCAGCUCUCACCAUGUCCAUCAAUCCACCCCACCACGGUGAGCGUCUGCGAUGUCCGUGCAGGGGAGAGAGACCUGGCCUAUCCUCAGCACAGCCCAUGUGACGUUAGAAAGGCAACCGCAAAUUCAGCUGCGGAGUGCAAAACGAAUUUCCUCCUGUCACACGCUAACUUUCUGUUCUGGAUUUCCUGGGGUUUCCUUUAUUAGACUUGAGUCCAGAACUCCUCUAGAAACAUUCUCUGGGAUAUCUUGACCUGGCACGCAGAGGGGUGAAGGAACGGGGACACGGAUGGAUGGAGGGAGAUGAACUAAUCAGCAAAUGCUCCUUGCACAUUUCCUAGCUCUGUCAGCCAAAGUGAGGUCUGACCACAAAAGCUACCCAUUCACUUGCUAAAUGGUGCAAAAUGGGCCCAGACCCUCAUUUUACCUUUACUUAAAUAACAGCAUAUUCUCGUCUGGUCUUUAAACCACACAGGCCAAAAUGAGUUGAGCACUAUCACAUAUUUAAUUGACUCGUAAAAGCAACUUGUUUUUCUUCAUCCUUCGCCGACCUUUGUUUAUGGGUAACCCUUGAUAACAUGUGGGCAGGGUUUCAGUGUAAACCCGAGGGCAGGUUAAACACGCUCCCUCCAAAGCUUACUUGGCUUUGAUUUUUCAACCACCCGCCCUCAUGUGCAGGGACAGGGCAGAGUCGUGACCAACAGUGGAAAGACCCAUAGCUCCCAGCUCCAGGGACGACGCGGGGGUGCUAAGCUGGUAAGCUGGGAAAUUCCCGGGCACGACCCCUGGCCGUGGGUGAAAGCACCCCCAGCCCCACCCCCAGCUGUGAGAUGCUGCAGGUUCCCCAGCCCCACCCCCAGCUGUGAGAUGCUGCAGGUUCCCCAGCCCCACCCCCAGCUGUGAGAUGCUGCAGGUUCCCCAGCCCCACCCCCAGCUGUGAGAUGCUGCAGGUCCCGGCAGGAGAAGGCUUCUCCACAGAGAGGCCGCUGAACAAGGCACAGGGCCAGGUCUGGCCGUGUAAAAAUACUUGGAACCCAUGGGGGGCUUUGUGUGUGGUGUCAUCGGCAGCUUCCAUUAUGUCCAGCGGUAACAUGUUUACGGUCCCUGUGCCGCCGUGCGGUAGCAGUUUUCCCGAGUGUCUCCUGGCUGGGACGGCUGGUGAGGAUGUGAGUUCAAUAGAUGAACACCCCACCUUGGUGACACAGAGGCUGGACAGUCACACCGACCCUUGGCCCGGGCGAGGCCACGUGUCCCACAAAACAUAAGGCUUGGGUUAGUGUCGGGCACGCGGGGGAGGUGCCUGCCUGCGUGAAGACUGGUCACAAGACAACUUCCCAGUUUAGAAAAUGGUUAACUGAUUCAUUAAUACUCACUUCCUGUCGCAAGAGACUCAUGCCCUAGAGAUAAAGCCGUCGGAGGCAGAGUGCAGGCCUCGAAGCAGCUGGUCAUGUCCACGCCCUCUGCAGGCCUCGUGUCCCCCUCGCUGUCGCCUGCCGAUUUGGUGGCUCCUCUCAUAACACACAGCCUCCUGUGUAUGUUUUUACCCUACAAACGCUCUCUAACCGGUCCAGAGGUCAGAAACAGCCGCAGUCUCCUACCUCUAUUGCUUCUCAAGGGAAAAGCACAGCCUGGAAUGAUGAGGAGCCCCCACGCCUUCUCAGUCUCCUGUAACGACGUUGCUACAGAUGCUUAAAGAAGAAACCCAAACGCUCUGUGAAUGGGACAUGUGCUCAGAGGCGUCUGCAGUUGAGGCGGGUGACGUUCUGGGGUCCCUGGGAAGUUGUCAUCACCCUGCUGACAUGAGUGUGGAUGUUGAGGCCUGGAGGGUGACAGGUCACACAGCCAGAGCCUGGCAGCAGCGCAGGGGCGGAACCCCGGGUCCCCUGUGGGCCUGUGCCCUCUCGGCCAGCCUUGCAACGCGCAGCUAACGCUCUUCAAGAAAACAUUCUCUGGAGGAAUCCUGCUGGUCCUGAAGUUUUUGGCCUUGAGAAGGUCAUCACAGACACCCCUCCCCUCGGGCCAGGCCUGCUGUCUUGUCUAAGGGGCCCUAUUUUAUCUGAGGUGAUUUGCAACUCUGAAACACACAUACAUAAAAUAGAAAUACCGUCCUCACUAUUAACCUAGAGACCCCCAUCCCUACCCCUCCCUAUGAAUGCUUUUUCAUAAACAUGCCGCAUUCUGAGGAAUCCGAAAGACUCCAGCGUAGGACAGACCGCUGUUCCAAGCCACUGGGAAAGGGGAAACUGGUGACUGAGCGGCGCCCGUCAGAGCCAUUAAAACGUGAGGGAAAACUGCACCUUACGGCACACGAACCCUUAGAAGAGGCAAAACACUACUGAGUUAAUGCUUAAUUUAUUUGUAAUGAUAAAAGUUUUUAUCACUUUAAAUAAAGUUAUUUGAAAAAAGUUA